UUUCGGAGCCAGACCUUCGCUCCGCGUUCUUUGAACCAGGAGAGGAAAGUCCGGACACCAUCGGGCAGGAUUCCGCGCGAAAGCGCGGGCGCGGCGCGUCAAGGCGUCGCGAUGGACAGUGUCACAGAGAACAAACCGCCACGCGGGCAACCGCGGGGUAAGGGUGAAAAGGUGGGGUAAGAGCCCACCGCGCCGUGCAGCAAUGCCGGCGGCACGAAAAACCCAAUCCGGUGCAAGGCAACAUAGGCGGCUGGGCGGCCCGUCCGAUAGCCGCGGGUAUGCCGCAUCCGGCCUACGUCCCGACUUGUCGGGGCUACGGCGGGGCAAGUCCCGCGUCAGCGGGGUUUGAGAGAAAUGAAGGUCAGGCGCGCUUCGGCGCGCUGCACAGAAUCCGGCUUACGGCGCCGAAACUAG
rnacentral:RNase_P_RNA from 1 species